AUUGAACGCUGGCGGCAGGCCUAACACAUGCAAGUCGGACGGUAGCACAGAGGAGCUUGCUCCUCGGGUGACGAGUGGCGGACGGGUGAGUAAUGUCUGGGGAUCUGCCCGAUAGAGGGGGAUAACCACUGGAAACGGUGGCUAAUACCGCAUAACGUCGCAAGACCAAAGAGGGGGACCUUCGGGCCUCUCACUAUCGGAUGAACCCAGAUGGGAUUAGCUAGUAGGCGGGGUAAUGGCCCACCUAGGCGACGAUCCCUAGCUGGUCUGAGGGGAUGACCAGCCACACUGGACCUGGGACACGGUCCAGACUCCUACGGGAGGCAGCAGUGGGGAAUAUUGCACAAUGGGCGCAAGCCUGAUGCAGCCAUGCCGCGUGUAUGAAGAAGGCCUUCGGGUUGUAUAGUACUUUCAGCGGGGAGGAAGGCGAUGUGGUUAAUAACCUUGUCGAUUGACGUUACCCGCAGAAGAAGCACCGGCUAACUCCGUGCCAGCCGCCGCAGUAA
rnacentral:rRNA from 1 species